UACGAAGGGGGCUAGCGUUGUUCGGAAUUACUGGGCGUAAAGCGCACGUAGGCGGCUUUCUAAGUCGGGGGUGAAAUCCUGGAGCUCAACUCCAGAACUGCCUUCGAUACUGGAGAGCUCGAGUCCGGGAGAGGUGAGUGGAACUGCGAGUGUAGAGGUGAAAUUCGUAGAUAUUCGCAAGAACACCAGUGGCGAAGGCGGCUCACUGGCCCGGUACUGACGCUGAGGUGCGAAAGCGUGGGGAGCAAACAGG
rnacentral:rRNA from 1 species